GACAGAGGGUGCAAACGUUGUUCGGAAUUACUGGGCGUAAAGCGCGUGUAGGCGGCUAAGUAAGUCGGACGUGAAAUCCCACGGCUCAACCGUGGAAGUGCACUCGAAACUGCAUAGCUAGAGUCCUGGAGAGGAAGGUGGAAUGCUUGGUGUAGAGGUGAAAUUCGUAGAUAUCAAGCGGAACACCAGUGGCGAAGGCGGCUCGCUGGCCCGUUACCGACGCUCAGGCGCGACAGCGUGGGGAGCAAACAGG
rnacentral:rRNA from 1 species